UACAGAGGGUGCGAGCGUUAAUCGGAAUUACUGGGCGUAAAGCGUGCGUAGACGGUUAUUUAAGUCGGGUGUGAAAGCCCCGGGCUCAACCUGGGAAUUGCAUUCGAGACUGAAUAGCUAGGGUACGGAAGAGGCGAGUGGAAUUCCUGGUGUAGAGGUGAAAUUCGUAGAUAUUCGGCGGAACACCAGUGGCGAAGGCGACUCACUGGCCCGAUACUGACGCUGAGGCGCGAAAGCGUGGGGAGCAAACAGG
rnacentral:rRNA from 1 species